GGUGAGGUGGCCGAGUGGUCGAAGGCGCACGCCUGGAAAGUGUGUAUACGGCAACGUAUCGAGGGUUCGAAUCCCUCCCUCACCG
rnacentral:tRNA from 1 species